GCAGGUGAUGACAGCAGUCGUGCUGGCAAAAUUGCUGGCGCUGUGUGUGGGGCUGUAGGUGUUGCAGCGACCGUUGGCAUUGUGGUCUGGGUGGUGAGAGGAAGUCCACACGGGUUCUAUAAAGUAGUCUAAUGGAAGAAGAAAGAGAUUAAGGAAAAAACAAAACUGGCUAUAAAAUCUAGAGAACUUGGGAAAAGGAUAUCACAAACGUUGUUACUGCUCAUUUUUUUUCUGAGUAAAUAAGUCACAUUUCUACAGAUGUAUAUACUAUAUAAUAUAGAUGCAUAUUGUUUACUGAUGAAGAAUCGCACCAUCAUGUCAAUCUCCAGUGUACUGAUAUUAGUCUUUGGCUCUAUCUGGUGGUGGAAUGAUGGCAUGACAUACAUGUACAGAGUUGUAAAUAAAAGCUACAGAGAGCAGCUUUUAGAUGUGUGUAUUUCAUCCUUUAACAUCUUACAGACUUAAAUGUAAACAUACAAAUGAGGCAGGUUUAAUAUGUACAGAGAAAAUGGUUGGAAGUAAGGCACUGAGGUUUGAAGCCUGAAAAGAAAAAAGAAAAGUUCUUAUAAUGCACCUUUCUGCUACAACUGAGCACUAAAAGCACUUUAGUUCUGUUGCUUUAUUGUUUAUGUUUUGUGAUCUGGAUGGUGAAGGAAAGUCAGGGCUGUUAGGGCUGACAAACACAUCUUUUAACUGUGAGGUGGAAAUCAGUGCUGGUGAUAACAAUAAACCUAAUAUGACCAGAAUCUCAUCAUUUAGACAAACACAAAACAGCCAUUAUCUUUCUCUUAAAAUGUAAAUAGUUUUUGAAUGUUUGUCACUUUAGAUUUUUUUUGAGUGCAUACAAACUAUAGGGGUUUGCUCAUCUGCCUUCACAUGCAUACAAACUACAGUGACAUCUCAUUCUUUAGUCAUAGGGCUUAAACUCUUCUGGGAAGGCUUUCCACAAAGUUUAGCAAUGUAAGAGUUUUUGAUCAUUAUUCCAGAAGAGGAUUUGUGAGAUAAAAAAUAGAUGUUUGAUAAGAAGGCCUGGUUCACUUAAUUCUAAUUCAUCCCAAAGGUGUUUUCUAAGAGGCUGAUGUCAGGACUCAUCCAUGUAUUUAUGGACCUUGGUUUGUGCUCUGGUGCACAGUCAUGUUGGAACAGGAAGGGGCCAUAGCCAAACUGUUCUGACAAGGUUGGAAACUUAAAAUGGAAACAGCUCUAGAAUCCAUUGGCAGUGUGCUUUUUGCCACUGCAUCCAGUUACGUUCCAAUACAUCUCUAGAUAGAUAGAUAGAUAGACUUUGCUUAUAGGUGGUAACCCAAACCCCAUUGUGCCAGUGUGUGUGUGUGUGUGUUUGUGUGUGUAUUUUAUUCAUUUCUAUGUUUAACAUUAAAUGUCUGUACUAUUAAACCAUUUGGAUUGCUUGUAUUAAGAGAAAACCAGCAGAUGGUGCUAAUUCUAUUGGUUACCUCUGGCCAAGCUGUAAUUCACAUUCUUUGCUGGAGCAAGUUUGACAUUUGAUUUGUUCUGAGAAUGAGUGCAAUUUAGCGAGUCUUUUAUAAGAAUAUGAGAAUGUAGAUUAAAAGUGUAUCACACAACAGAAACCUAAGAGUGUUUCGUAUUAGCGUUUUUGCAAAUCUGGCCAAAUUUUUCCACAGGAAGUGGUUUCAGUCAGACAGACUUGGUCAUGGUUUACAUUUGUAUUCGGCACAAUGCAGCUGUGAUUGUGUUGACCAAGACAUAUUGUUAUAUAAAAUAACAAAAAAAAAGAACUAAAUUACCUCUAUUUUUCUGUCUUUACUUCAUUCAUCGUCAAUGCCUCCUCUUUCCCUUCUUAUGUACAAAAUGUUGGAGAAUAUUUAAAUAAUUUGUAAUGUGAAGACUUUGUAAAGAUUCACUAUGAUUUACACAGCAGUGCACUCCAUGAUAGUGACAUCAGUACUUAUUCAGGGUCAGAAACCUCUGGUUCAGUGUUUGAGAUAGGUCCUAUUGUUCCCAUCACAGAACACAACAGAGAGCAGCUUUACUCAGAAACCAGACCACAGGAUUUUCCAGCCACACAGCAGAAAACUAAAUAUAGGUCAAACAAGUUUACCUGUCAAAACAAGCACUUAUACUCGUUUCCAUUUUUUUUUUUGUUCCAUUUUUUAAAUCGUUUUUGCCAUUUUAAACUGCACAUGCUUUCAAUAUAACUGCUGAGCUGUUUGUGUUGUGGGUUUUUAAACUGGCACAGUGUCCUGUGUCUUCUCAGAAAUUACACUCCCCUAGAUUGAAUACACUCAAUUUAACCACAGCUGACCCAUAUUGGCUGAAAGAGCUGAUGGAGCAAUAAUCAUUGCAUUUCUCUGUUUGCAAUUUAAAGAAAUAUUAUUAAUUUUGAGUAAAGUUUUGAGCCCAUGCUGAACGGAGAUGAAAGUGUGGACAAAAACAACAAGAGACAGCCGUACAAAAGCUGAUGACAAUAAAACCACAAACACUUCGCCGAGCACUGAAGGCCCCUACACUUCCUUUUCACACACAGCGAUUAUGCAUUUCACAUCCUCUGUAAUAUAACAGUUUGAUAUUUUUCAACAAACGUUCUUGCUCUUAUGAAAACAGAGGAAAAUUGUCACAAAAGGUCAAAAGUGUCACACGUCAAAAAUAGCAGAUAGCAGCCAUGUCUGGGACUUUUACUAUGGGCUCCAUGUCAACAGAAAUGUCACAGCAUGCUUUACACCUUCACUGCUUAUUACUGAUUUAUGACUGAGUGGAAACUUGACUAAAGCCACCUGUGGCCAAUAAAAGAACUGGCCAGUUUUGCUCUUAUGUUUCUCUUCAUAUUUCUGCUCUCCUACUGUCCCCUCCCACACCACAACAGGAAGGAACUGAGCAAAGUGAACAGCCUUUGUUGAGCAACAAAACACAGAACCCGGGAAAGCUUACUAACAUUUAUUCAGUCCUAAGAUUUCUGUCAUUUUAAGAAAAGUCACUCGGCAGGGUUGAUAAUGUGAUCGGAGAAACUGGUCAUGAAAACCUUAAUAGUGAG